UUAGUACUCCCUCGGUCCAACAAAGGAUGUCUCAACUUUGACUAAAUUUGAAUGUAUUUAUAUACUAAGUCAUGUCUAAAUACAUUCAAAUUUUGACAAACUUGAGACAUCUUUUAUUGGACGGAGGAAGUAUGUG
rfam:Brachypodium distachyon strain Bd21 chromosome 1, whole genome shotgun sequence.